rnacentral:rRNA from 1 species
UACGUAGGGUCCGAGCGUUGUCCGGAAUUAUUGGGCGUAAAGGGCUCGUAGGCGGUCCGUCGCGUCGGGAGUGAAAACUCAGGGCUCAACCCUGAGCGUGCUUCCGAUACGGGCGGACUAGAGGUAUGCAGGGGAGAACGGAAUUCCUGGUGUAGCAGUGAAAUGCGUAGAUAUCAGGAGGAAUACCGAUGGCGAAGGCAGGUCUCUGGGCUGACACUGACGCUCAUGCACGAAAGCGUGGGGAGCAAACAGG